rnacentral:misc_RNA from 1 species
GACUACCGUAACUUGGGUGAUAAAAAGAAUAAAUAAAUAAAUCUAACAUGCGGCUUUUUUAAAGUAAACAACAAAAUCUUUAUCCAAAGAUCAAAAAUUCAAUAUUGAAUUGUUUGUAAUCAUGUAAAUAAAAAUCAAUAGUUGCACAAAUACCAUCACAGAAAGAUUUGUCAUUGCUGGUAGCAAAAAAUACUCAUUCAUCAUUUAAAUCAAAGUCUAUGCUGUGAUAAGAUAAAUUGAAAGAUAAGUUUUGAAAGUUUUAAAGUUACAUUGCACAGCCAUCAGAAAAAUACUUCCCACGUGAUACAAAAAAACCAUGUGUCAUGAUUAUAUUCUUCUGAAAGGAAGAGUCAGAAAUUGCGAUCCUGGAGAUUAUCCCAUAGAUAUUCAGCAAGCUUUGGAAAGAUCUAUAGAGUUUUAUGAAGGCUGCUAAUGGCUAGAGAGUUUAAUGACUAGACUGCAUUUAGUAACCAUGGUAAUGCUCAUGUUUUUCUUUGAGAAUUUCAAAUAGCUGUACAAUAUUACUAAUGAGAAAACUUCAAACAUAAAUUUUUUUCAGAGUUUUUCAGGAUCUGCUGCAUAUUUUAUUGGAACACUAUUCAACAUUAAAGUAUGUAAGAAUCAGCUAAUUAAGUGGAUGAUUUCAGAUAAUGCGGAUGUUGUCAGCAUAUUUCUUGUAAAUCUGAAUGGAUUAUUUAGAUGGAACAAUGAGGAAACCUUACUAAAUGUUUCAACAAUUAUUAACUCAUUGGUUUCAAAUUUUUGGCGUCAUCAGAGAAAAACUUAGAGUAAUGGUUCUUUUUACUAUGACGAUUAUGAGAUUAACAAAUACGUGCUCUAACUAGUGAAGGAAAAGGAUUAGCAGCUUAUUUGACAGGAACAACAAAUACUCUUGAUUAUUUUGCACCCUCACCUCCUCAAUUACAUGUUCAUGGUAAAACAGAGAUUUUUAUUGAGUGGGAUCCUCCUAAAAAUCUUCUUGGCAGAUUAAAUUAUUAUGAACUUAGAAUGGAUAACAUGGU